UACGUAGGGUGCGAGCGUUAAUCGGAAUUACUGGGCGUAAAGCGUGCGUAGGUGGUUCGUUAAGUCUGUCGUGAAAGCCCCGGGCUCAACCUGGGAAUGGCGAUGGAUACUGGCGGGCUAGAGUGCGGUAGAGGGUGGUGGAAUUCCCGGUGUAGCAGUGAAAUGCGUAGAUAUCAAGAGGAACACCGGUGGCGAAGGCGGCUCUCUGGUCCAAACCUGACGCUGAGGAGCGAAAGCUAGGGGAGCAAACGGG
rnacentral:rRNA from 1 species